rnacentral:piRNA from 1 species
AGCGCGGUGAGUCGGCUGCGAUGGUCCU